rnacentral:lncRNA from 1 species
GUGACUCAUAAAUGUCCCAAUACUAAGUGAAUUAUUCCAUCACUUCACUGCCCUGUAUCUCUCAUGCUCACGGAUCCCUUCUUCUCCCCUCCUCUGCAAACACAGCUCAUGGGCCAAGUGUGCAAUUAGCUGAUCUUUGGAUGCUGCAGAGACUUUGCUGAAGCACAGAGCUGUUGAGACCCCCACAACAGGGGCACUAAGGGCAUUAUGGUGUCCCUUUGAGAAGCUCUUGCCUUCAGGAGUCCUUCAUUCCCACCCCACAGAGAUGGGGUACCCAGAGAGGUGCUGCAAGCAGCAUGGGGGCCUGCUGGGAGCCAUGGGAAUGGCUCCAAAGCCCUGUGCUCACCACAUGCUCCAGGCCUCCAGACUGUUCCUCCUCAUCUGCCAGGCUGAGGAGAUAACGCAGUCCUCCUCAAGUGCAGCUCCAAGAUCCCUGUGCCACGAGGAGGACCGAGAUCCACACACACAGUGGGGAGAGCUGCUGCUGGCUGCUCCAGGAAUGAGUCCCAUUUCCAUUCCUGCCUCUCCUGCUUCUGACCAUUAGGUCUUGGCCUCCUAAACGGGUUUUCAUCACCCAAUUAGAAACAGAGCAACCUCCUGCUUCUCAGUUAUAUUUGGCACGGCGAGUGCACACAGGGAAAUAAUCCAUAGUGCUCUGCCUGGACCGGCACGUGCCCCGGAGCAGGGUUUGGCUGCCUGGCCCUCCAGCCGUGUCCCCCUUCUGCACUCAGCCACCUCCACUGGUCACUGGUCACCAGCAGAUCAUCAGCUCCUUAAAGCAGGAUCAGCACCUGCCCUUGUCAUUGCAGCUCCCGCCUGCUCAGAGCCAGGGGACAGCUGAUGUCACCCAUGUCCUGCUGGGCUCCAGGAGACCUCAGCUUUGGAAUACCCUCCUGGUAAAAGAGGGGCUGGAAAAGGGUUUAUAUCCCACUGUGUGGAGUGAUGUGAUGCAGGAUCUUGGAAGAAGAGAAGGAACUGUUUUCUGAACAUUUGUGGUAGCCCACCCCCAAAUAACAUGGCAAAGUUUGCUGUCGCAGCAUUCCAAAAUCUCAGGUUUCUGCAGAGCUCCUCCAGCUGAUGCUGCAGGAUUAUGGGCUCCUAGGACACCUCAUUACACCUGGAUAGGGACCAAGGCACAGCCAGAGCUGCCUUUCCAGCUGCCAUUGUGAUGUGAUGGCAUCUACCACCCUUCCCCAGUGAGGAGACACUGAUGUGGAGGGUCAAUGGGGAAUUCCUACUCUUCACUGUGCUGGGGCUAUAGGAGCAUGUCCGGAUCUACCUGUGGUGAGACCACAAGGUUUGCUUCUCCCCAGAUCCCUGUUAGUUGGUUUGGCCUGGCUCAGGGAUGAAGAUCAAGCAUGGAUUAA